rnacentral:snoRNA from 1 species
CGUUUCCAUACUCAUCAGACCUAAACACUGGUUUGAUUGGCUAUAAAAGGAGAAAAGGUAAAACUGACACUGAUUUCAAUGCUUUUGUGGCACACUGAGACAGACUCACACUAGC